AUGACCACCAUGGACUCCCUCAAGGACGACAACGUGGAGGAGAUCCUGCUCCGCCUCCCAUCGUGGGCCUCCCUCGGACACGCCGUGCGCGCCUCUGGCCGCCUGCGCCGCGUCGCCUCCAGCCCCGGCUUCCUCCGCUGCUUCCGCGCACGCCACGCCUCCUCGUCGCCCCACAGCUUCCUCGGCGUCUUCUCCCGCUGGCAACCCUCCGGCCUCCCCCUCUUCCACCUCGCGGGCUCAGCCCGGUCCGACCCCGGCCUCGUCGCCAUCGCGCACGCUGGCGAUUUCCUGCUCGCCCGCCUCGAGGACGACCCGGAGUGGCGCCUCCACGACUGCCGCAACGGCCUCCUCUCCAGAGGCAGAGGAUCCCUCUCCGUCUACGACCCCGUCUCUCUCCGCCGCGUCGACAUAGACCGCCCGCACGACGACCCCUUUCCGGACGGCUACAUCGCCGACGCCAACUGCCUGGUCGGCGACGGCGAUGCUUCCUUCCGCGUGGUCUCCUUGCAGGUAGACGAUCACCGCAGGCUGCGGGCCGUCGAGUACGACUCCAGAGCACACGGGUGGCGCUUCCACCCUUGGGCGGCGGACACCGUCAUGCCGCCCCCGGCGUACCAGACGAUGUACGCGGCCGGGCUCAUAUUCUGGAACCACGACGGGGACACCGCCGGGGCAUCGUCGCUCUUGCUCGACACCCGCACGAGGGACUUCUCCAUGCUCCCUCUCCCGGCAACCAUUUCGAAGGCGGACUCGAAUACAACAAGGUACUCCAUCGGAGAGACCGACGACGGCAAGUGCUGCCUUGUGUGCGUCAAGCACCGCCGGCUGCAACUGUGGCUACUCAAGGAGAACCAUGGUGGUGGUCGCAACCGCAAUAUUUGGGUGUUUGAGAAGGAAAAGCCAUGGAUCGAGCUGCUUGGCGGAUUUUGCCAGGUGCAGCACGUCGGGAAGGUGGUCGCCGGACUAGUCGUCGUUUGGGCAGGCACUGUCGGCGGGGAGUCGUUUCAUCAUUAUGCGAUUGACAUAAAGAGCCUCAGCCUCAAGACCAAGCUUUCCGUUGUUGGAGGUGGAACGGUGGUUCAUCCUUUCAUACUACCAUAUCCGCCUGCUGGCUUCUUGACGCCUGCCACGCGACACACGUCUCAGAUAGAUAUUUGCAAAGGAAGUAUCAAGAAAUACAUUCAGACACACUUGUGGAUCAAUACACGCAAAGGAAAUUCGCAUCUUCAGCAUGAGGACGCACAAGGUACGACAAACCAGUCUGCAUUAUCUGCAAAUUUUCAUACACAUACACCAUUUAUCCUAACCAUCCAGCUACUGUCGGAGGUACAUCCCUAUUUUUUCAGUCAACUCUCUUUCAAACAUAGCUCUACUCCUUUGUUGCAAUUGUUCCACCGGUGA
rnacentral:rRNA from 1 species